rnacentral:rRNA from 1 species
CCUACGGGGGGCAGCAGUGAGGAAUAUUGGUCAAUGGUCGGGAGACUGAACCAGCCAAGCCGCGUGAGGGAGGAAGGUACAGAGUAUCGUAAACCUCUUUUGUCAGGGAACAAAGGCGGGGACGUGUCCCCGGAUGAGUGUACCUGAAGACAAAGCAUCGGCAAACUCCGUGCCAGCAGCCGCGGUAAUACGGAGGAUGCGAGCGUUAUCCGGAUUUAUUGGGUUUAAAGGGUGCGCAGGCGGUCUGUUAAGUCAGCGGUCAAAGCCCGGGGCUCAACCCCGGCCCGCCGUUGAAACUGGCAGUCUUGAGUUGGAGAGAAGUAUGCGGAAUGCGCGGUGUAGCGGUGAAAUGCAUAGAUAUCGCGCAGAACUCCGAUUGCGAAGGCAGCAUGCCGGCUCCACACUGACGCUGAGGCACGAAAGCGUGGGUAUCGAACAGGAUUAGAUACCCGAGUAGUC